GGGCCGGUAGUUCAGCGGUAGAAUGUCCGCCUCGCACGCGGAUGAUCCCAUACCAGCAGGUAGAUAAAUUUACAGGCUUGGUGGGGUCAGCGAGAGGUCGCGGGUUCAAAUCCCGCCCGGUCCA
rnacentral:tRNA from 1 species